rnacentral:lncRNA from 1 species
CACCCAUUUCUUGAAAUAUAUUAUGAAUAAAUGUGAUGAAAUCAUCCUUUAAAAUAACGAAAGUGAAGAAUAAUAAUAAUAACUACGAAGGAAAAGUAAGCACCAGCCAAAAAGGUGCGUUUGUUUGAUUAAUUAUUUCCAAUUAUGCAUGUAGGUGGUGCAAUAAAAGGGUGGGAGAGUGGGAGGGCAUAUAAGACAUUUCGAAACCUUUCGGUAAAAGUAGCACGAGCCAGGGUAACCGAUAGAUUUGAAAAUUAGACGAUUAUGAUUAUUAAAUUAUGAAAUUUAACGUUUUAUUAAUCUCCAAAUUUUCCAUUCAGAGGGUUUCUCUCUUCUUCUCGCCCAUUAUCCUUCUUCCGCCAUAAUCGCCCAAACAAAUGGAAUCAAAUUCGUCGCGCUCACUCCUUCCAACGACGCCGCUUCAGAUCUGAAUCGCAGCCGUUUCGGAGAUCCACUGUGCCGGCAUUCUCCGUUCAAUUCUCGCACCUUUCAUGCUCUUCCCGUGAGCCUCGUCGUUUUAUCUCUUUUCAUUUUCGUUUCAAUUUUUUUUUGUUGCUAUCGUGGUCCUGAUUUCGACGAUUCGUUCGGUGUGCAGCUCGUGCGCACAGAUCUUGAAAAUUGACGCCUCAACGACGUUCGCAGCGUCACGCGAGUGGCCAGAUGCCGCAGGGCAAUGCCGCCGCCGUCGCCGCUCUGUUAGACCACGGCAGCGAUGCUGGAGACGCCGUUAUGGCGCGGUGGCUCCAGUUCGCCGGCUUGCAGCAUCUCGCCUCGCCCCUAGCUUCUACCGCCAUCAAUCAUCGCCUCCUCCCCAACCUUCUCAUGCAGGUGUAGCUUAUCCGCAUCGUCAGUCUCUUUCAUUUUGCAGUUUCUCGAUAUUUCAUUUAAUUUUUGUUAGAAAUACUGCGUUUUGUUUUCUUUCUUUGUUUAUUUUUUUGAUAAUUUUUUUGUUAUUUUUUGUGUUUGGUCUUUGUUUAAUAAAGUGGAGUUUGGUUGACUAUGCGUGUCAUAAGGUUUUGAGUAAGUUGAAAUUUUGUAGUACUUGCAUGUAGGUUAUAUUACUCUGUAUGAUUCUUCAGCUGUCCUGCAUUUUGAGGAAUGAUUAUGGUACGGUCUUAUUUUAGUUAGAAGCAUGCAUUGAGUGUGCAGUAUGGGUUGAAUUUGCUAAAUGAUGUUUGCUCUUAUUUAUGAUGGUAGUUCACGAGGUGACAAAGAUGAUUGUGAUGUUGUUGUAGGGUUAUGGAGCANAGUCUGCUGAGGAGAAGCAGAGGCUUUUGAAGUUGAUGAGAAACUUCAAUUUUAAUGGGGAGUCUGGUUCAGAGCCAUAUACGCCCACGGCCCAAUCUUUAGGUGGAGUAGCUGGGUCGGAUGGGUUUUAUUCUCCUUGUUCAGGGGCGAUUUUGGAUCCGGGCUUUUGGAUCUUCAUGGAUGAUACAGAGCUUUUGUCUGAGGUAUGCAUAUGAUUUGGUGUAUCAUAUAUAAUGGUCUGUUCAUUCAUGAAAGCCAAUUGACUUAGUUUGGUUCAAGUACUAUUACCACAGUUUAUUGGGAAAAGAUCUUCAACAUGUGAUUUUGACACGUUGUCAUAUUCUAUAAAAUAGAUCAUGGUACUUACGAGUUCGUUAUGAAAACUCUAGAAAGUUCUCAGACUAGAUUUAAAUCUUCAAAUACUUGUUCAAAUUUUUGCUGAUUUUUGAAACUAAUNUGUCCAUGACUUACAGUUUUCGAAACCAAAUUGGACGCUCUGUUUUAUGACAUACACUCCUUAUGGAAUGCUCCUUUAAUUAGGUUAUUUGAGUGCUAGUUUGAAUAGCCAGGCUAUCGGUGAUUAUAUACGAUGUCUUAGUUUUUUUUUUUCUAAUUUUUAUGUGAGAAUUUUAUAUAUUUUAUAUUUUAUUUGGUUGUGACGUGAAGAUAUUUUCAAGACACGAAAAAUAAAUCUUUAUUAUUAUGAUUCUUGUUUAGGACCUUUUCAAUACCUAAUUAUCAACUUGUCGCCAUAAAAGAUGAAAUAACCAAUAUAUCUCAAAUUUCAUUUCCAUCCUAAAAUAUUUAAAGUAAUAAUUUUAAAAUAUUAAAAUUAUUUAUCAUUUUAAAGAAGUUUUCUUUGAAAAGGGUUAAAGUAUAGUUUACAUUUAUUUAUAGGAGAAUAGUGUAUAUUUUGUCAUAAAGAUGGGAGAUUAUAAUUUACAUAAUUUGAUGUUCACUUUUUUGGUUAUGCGGGAUUUGUUUGCUUGGAUUUUGAAUGCAUAACGGAGCUGAAGGGAAUAAAUAAAAAUUGGACCAAAGCAUGAAAAUGAAGAUGAAAAGCCCAGUCAGUGUGGAAAACGAGAGAAGGCCCUAUGGUGGUUUGGUCCAAUUGCGAUUCAACAUUUCCCAAUCCGAAGAACUAACUGAGAAGUGAAGUGAAAAAGCAGAGAGGAGAAGAGAAGGGAAAGUCGCAUGGCAUCGACGGUGGCGUACCUUGCUCGACACGCGGCACAGAAGGAGAUGGUUCGGAUCCUAUACUACCGGGUCCUCAAAGACACUCUUAAUUGGGCCGUGCAUCGACACCUCUUCUACGACGAGGUAUAUUAGCUACUCAUUCAUUCCUUUCCCAUUUUUUCCAUUUUCACUUCUAAUCUCGUAUUUUCUUUCCCUUUCUCCAGGCUGCAAACCUCCGCGAUAGGUUCGACGAAAACAAACACUCAAGGAAAACAAACACGUGGUUCUUUUCCCCUUCUUCUCUCAAUGCCUCCCUUCCAUGAAUGCUAUAAUUUGUACUUCCCCUUACCGUUCAUUGGCUACAUUUUCUUUGUUUAUUGCUAGGAGCUGUGUAACACAAUUCUGAUCCGCACAUACCAUAAUUCCUUUCUAUUUGUUGUAUGGACUAUUAUAUUUUAAUUAGGAAUUUUUAUAACGGUUUAAUCGUUGCAUUUGAUUUCUCGUAUAUUGUCUCAUUCUGUUAAGCUUGCUUUGUGUUGAUUCGAUGUCAUAUACAGUAAGAUCCUGAUACAAUUGACAGGCUCAUAUCGGAUUCUAAAGCCUCCUACAACAAGUGACGUCAUCCAAAUCCUUACAUAUGUAAACAUGUCACGCAUCUCAUUAACACUUAUCCUAGGCUAUAAUAUUACAUCCACCAGAAAAUAUCAUUACCAUGAAGGUUUUUCUAUUAAUGAUGCGUAAAUAGAUAUGGUUGAGAAUGUUUUUGUUGAUGUCUAUGAUUGUAAAUAAUCCUAAACACGAUUGCUUUAAACAUAACUUCACGAUUGAAAGUAUCUCCAUUUUGUUUGGUGAGAGGCAUAUUGAAUGAGUCGUCAUGGAAGUUGAGAUAGAGGGGACUGGCAUUAUAAGAGUCAUCUAUAUUCUUCUUUGUGAUAAGUACCUUUGCUGCAAUCCAAAUGUUAAAGUUGCCAUGAAAAAAAGGCGUUGUUUUGAAUGAUAACCUAAGCUACAGUAAGCCUUGGAGCAUAUGCACAGAGGCAGGUAUUGCCCAUAUUUUAGUUUUUCUUGCGUUGGGUAGUAGAUUUAUCUGCACAUGUUACUCCUCUCGUUGGUCCUUCUAUUUCCUGUUUUGUUAUCCAGUCCACCUCAGAUAUUGUCCCAUUUAACUCUUAUUUUCUGUGUAUAAUAGUUCCUUGGGCGCCUGGUGGUUCCAAAUUUACUCGCAGCCCGCUCCACCUCAAGGGGUAAGUCGUUGAUAUGGUUAUACCGUAUCACGGGACAUUGUGUUCAUACCUCUCAAAAUAACGGUAACGGUAUAAAAAUCUUGCUGUUUUGACAGUAUAUUCUGCAUAAAAGUCCUUAGCUGUUUGACAUUUGCUAAUGUAGUUUAUAGUUUUGGAGAUAUUGUUUUAUGUCGUUUAGGUAUUAUUGUGGUUAAAGGUUGCUGUUGGACUAGGUAUAAAUAUUCUAAAUAUACUGUCUGAGUGAAUUGAUACUGAGAUUGUUGUGUUGAAUUAUGGAUGAUAUUGUAAUAUAAUUAUAUUACAUGGAUGUUAUAAUGAAUUUUUGGAUAUGUCCAGGAAAUUUAAUGCUUUAAUGCAUAUUUGUUGGGUUGUUAAUAUUGCUGCACAAUUUUUGACGAGCUUACUUAUGUAUAUGAUGUUUUUGAGUUGGUACAUGUAUGUUCGAAUGGUAUUUAUUAGUUGCCCUUUUAGAAAUUUAUGUUCAUUGAGGAUGUAUGAAUGAUGAUGCGUAGACAGUGAAAUGAAUCUAGUUUGGUGCUUGGUCUUUAUACUUGCGGUGGUGCAAGGGUCUUUUGAUCCAUCCUUCCUCUUUCUCAAUUGCUUUAGAACUACACUAGGUUGAUUGCAUAUGGCAUGACAAUAGAGAAUUAUGGAUUAAAUAAUAUACUCUUACUACACUCCUUUUACACCUUACUAAAUAUUUCCUAGAACCUCCUCUCCCACUUUCUAAACCUUAAAAUAGGUGAAUUCUUAUAGAUCCAUCCUUAAAAAGAAUCGAAUAUGAUAACUUUUCAUCAUAACCUUAGCACUGAUCCAAACUCUAACCGUAACCCUAAUUCUAACCAUGACCCUGACCUUAAACACAAUCCUUAAAUCUUAAAUCCUAAUUUUUACCCCUUAAACCCUAAUCCAAGUCUUAAUCCUAAUCUUAAACUUUAAAUUCUAACGUUAAACUCCAAAUUUUAAACACUAAUGCUUAAACAAUUAUAAAAUUACCUUACAACAUAAAUCCUAAUCCUAACCCUAAAUACUAAAUCCCAACUUCUAACAAUAAUCCUAAACCUUAACCUCUAUCCUAAAUUCUAAACCUUAAUUCUAAAAUCUAAACCCAAACCUAAACCUUUGUCCUAGCCUUAAACCUUAAACACUAACUUUAACCUUCACCCCAAUCCCUAACCCUAAUCUUAAUCACCAAACUUUAAUCCUAAUCAUAAACCUUAAUUCUAACCCUAAACUCCAAACCUAAAUCUCCUAAACCUUAAACACUAACACUAAACCAUAAACCUUAACCCUUGCCACCUAAACCUCCUAAACCUUAACCCCAAUCCCUAACCCUAAUCUUAAUCACCAACCUUCAAUCCUAAACCUUAAUUCUAACCCUAAACCAUUAGCCCUUAACCCCUAAACUCUAAACUCUUACCAUAAACUCCUAAAUCUCCAAAACCUUAAACACUAACACUAAACCAUAACCCUUACCCCCUAAAACCAUAGACCUUAACCCUAAUCUUAAACUCUAACACUAAACUCCAAAUUUUAAACAUUAAUCCUUAAACAACAAUAACAUAAAUCCUAAUUCUAAAUUCUAAAUCCCAACUUCUAAUCUCCUAAACCUACCUACUUAAACCCAUAAACCUUAAACACUAACUUUAACCUUCACCCCAAUCCCUAUUUCUAAUCCUAAUAGUCAACCUUCAAUCCUAAUCAUAAACCUUAACCCUAACCCUUAACCUCUAACUCCUAAAUUCCAAACCUAAAUCUUAAACUCUAAACCAUAGUCUUAACAUAAAACCUUAAACACUAACACUAAACCAUAACGCUAACCUCUAAUCAUAACACUAAUCCUAAACCUACCUACUUAAACCCUUAAACCCUUAAACACUAACUUUAACCUUCACCCCAAUCCCUAUUCCUAAUCCUAAUCGUCAACCUUCAAUCCUAAUCAUAAACCCUAACCCUAAACCAUAAAUUGUAUCGUUAACCUUAACCUCUAACUCCUAAACUCCAAAAUCUUAAACUCUAAACCAUAGUCCUAACAUAAAACCUUAAAACAUUAACACUAAACCAUAACCCUAAUCUCUUAAACCUUAAACUCUAACGCUAAACACUAAACCUUAAACAACAAUGUUACAAUUAUGAAAGUACCUAAUAAUAGUAACAUAAAUUCUAAAUCCUAACACUAACCAUAAACCAUGAUCAUAAUCCUAAGUUCUAAAUCUUAAGCUUAACCCCCAAACCUAAAUCUCCUAAACCGUAGUUCUAGCCUUAAACCCUAAUCUUAAUCUUAAACCCAAACCUAAACCUCCUAAACCCUAGUUUGAGCGUCAAACUCCAAACCUAAAUCUCCUAAACCGUAGUUCUAGCCUUAAACCCUAAUCUUAAUCUUAAACCUCAAUCCUAACACUAACACUAAACCAUAACUCUAAUCCUAACCAUAAACCUUAACCCCCUUAACCCUAAUCUUACUCCUAAUCUUAAACCUUAAACUCUAAAGCUAUAAACUCCAAACUCCAAAUUUUAAACACUAAACCUUCAACAACAAUAUUACAAUUAUAAAAGUACCUUAUAAUAGCAACAUAAAUCCUAAUCCUAAAUUUUAAACUCCAACCCUAAAUCAUAAACCAUAAUCCUAAACUUAAAGCUUAACUUUAAUCCUAACCCUAAAUUCCAACCUUAAUCCUAACUAUAAAUCUUAAUGCUAACCCAAAACCAUAAACUGUAUCCUUAAUCUUAACUCCUAAACCUAAACCUAAACCUAAACCUCUUAAACCUUAAUCCUAAACUCAAACAAUCCAAAACAAUAAACUGUAUCCUUAACCCUAACCCUUCAUCUCUAGUCUGUAAACUCUAACUGUAUCCUUAAUCCUAACCCUUAAUCUUUAGUCUGUAAACUCCAAACCUAAAUCUUGUAAACUGUAAUUCUAGCCUUAAACCCUUAAACUUUUGACAGAAAAUUAUACUUCUUAAUUCAUACCAACUUAAAUAUCAUAGAAAGUAAUGAGCUAGAUAUCAAACUCUUAAGCAUGUCAAAUAAUCACACCCUAAACAAUGAAGAAACAAUGAAGAUUCAAUCUUUAACCAUAAACUAGAAACAAGAUGUUGUAACAUGAUAUAGUUCCAUUCAAAUACACUUAUAUAUACAUGUUCAUGUCUUAAAUGAUCAUGUAUAUACAGAGUUUAGAUGAAAGUAGAAUUGCCUUUCUCAAACUGACUUGCUACUUAUCAUUAUGCAAAAAUUGCUUAAUUGAAUUGAAUUAAAGACUACAAAAAUUAAUGCUAGAACUACGUCUACCUAAAUAUAAAGCUAAAAUUACUUUUGACAACUCUAAUCUAAGAAAAUAAAGUUAAGAGAUGAGUGAAUUCAGCAAAAAAAUGAAGAAAAGCGUAAAUAGAACUCAAAGAACCUAAGAAUACCUAAAUUGCAUCAAUCUGGAUGUGAGGACUGAAAUACACUUUUUUAUUUACAGAAUCUAGCUUGCAAGGUUGAAAUAUAUGUUUUUUUUUUCUAAAUAUACUGAAAUACUUUGUUUCCUUAUCGAAUGUUCCAAGGACACUUGUUUCCUUUUCUCUAACUCAAAAAUUGUAAUUACCUGAUUUAUGGUACCGACCUUCAAAUCCAUGGUCGAGACAUCUAAUGUUUGCUGCUCAAGAAGGUCAGUUAACUUGUAUGCAACCUUUCCUAGAUGAUCAACAACAUUCACAAGGGCUAUUAAUGCAUGAAUAUUAAUAACAUUGAAAAUUCCAUGCAGCCCAAAAUGACAUAAGCAUAGGAAAGGAAAUGGUCGCAGUGACCUUCAUUUGUAUCAGAGAGAAAAUAUGCAUGGAGCUUAAUAUUAAAAGAACCCUCCCCAUUGAAACUCCUAGAAAAAGUUAAAUGAACAGCUUAGCAAAUUAUUUUAAGGACAUAAAAUCAAGAAUCCUUUUCCAGAAUAAUUAUAACAUUCAUUCUUCCUAAUUUCAUGGUUGAAACAUGACCAUGCGUUUUACAAUCCAUAUAAUGAAGUUUCUGCAUGCACAUCCGCAAACAUAUAAUGGGAAUACUUUUCAAACGGUCAGGUUUAGAGACCCAAUAAAACGAUUUAAAAAUUAGUUAAUGUUCUUUAUGUUCCACUUUCCAGACCAUCCAAAGUUUGUAAUUACAAAUCAUCAUUUUGAAAUGAAAAGAGAUAAUUCCAAAUUCAUUCAUUCUCUUUAUCCAACAAAAUACAUGUGACAUUUGAUGGGAUAUAUAUGUGCUAGACAAAAAUUAAAACACCCAAGAAGAAUACAAAGGAAUGAAUUCAUGAUAUUUGUAUUUCUGGAACGAAUUAAUUAGAAUAAAAGUCCACCACUACACACAAAACUGGCUAAGAGAAAUGUGGUAAGGAGGCAAACACAAACAAUUAUAUAUAUAUAUAUAUAUAUAUAUAUAUAUAUAUAUAUAUAUAUAUAUAUAUUUCAAUGGAGAUGCAAGAGUAUUUUAAGAUUUUAUCUGAUUUUAUGCAAACACAAACUAUUUUUUUUUAAUAAAAUAGUGGAGUUUCCUGUUUUAUUCCUUGCUCUUCUCAUCUUACAAUAAAUUCUUGAGUAAAUUAAUUAAAAAUUAAGAAACAUAAGGUAUAAUUGGUAAAAGAGAAAUUAAUUGAAGGACUGUAAAUAAAAACAAAAUUUAUCUAAAAACCGGACAAUUUAAAAAAUCAGAUGGAGGAUAGCAUUGCUCUGUUUUUAAUGGAAUAAUAAGUCCUUCCUUAACAGUGUUUUAUCUAUCUGGCCAGCCAUGUUAAAACCAUCUAGCUCCAGUAGCUUUACUUUUAACUAAAAAGCUAAAACAAAUUUUAUGCCGACAUAAUAGCUUUUCUCUGCAUCUUAAUUCUUUUACUAAUAGUUCCAUCCCAUAGUUGUCGCACAACACAAGAAUCCUUAUACUUCUUACGUCAUUGUCAAGCAUAGCUGAUUUUUCUUGCAUUAGCUAAACCAGAAUUGCAAAAAAAAAAAAACUAAUUGAGAAGGAACCAAAAUCGCAAAAACAAACCUAAUUGAGAAGGAAACUGGAAGCUGGAAACAAUGUCAACCAAACAAACACAGAUCUGAAAUUAAAACAAGAAAAAGAAAAGAUAAGAGAUAAAAGAGAGGAAACCUGCAAGGCAUUGACAAAGCUCUUGCUGCACUCCACGAACACCUCGUCGUAGGUCAUGGCGGAGUUCAGCAGUGUGGGGGUUGGGCACUCAAUGGUCAAAAUACCUAAUAAUAUGGAAAUGGAAAAGAAAGUGUAAAAGUUGUGAAGGAACAAAAGUUACCCGCCACGUCCUUCAGUGCCAAAAUCUUCCGAGAAUAUUAACUGUAAAUUUCUCAUAUACUGCCUUGACCAUAAUGGCUCAAAGAUGAGAUUUUAGAAUCGGAGGACAGAAAGAUUUUCCACAAGCUCUUUCCCAAGAUAGUGGUCAAUCCUAUAUAAUAUUUCCCACUUUAUAAAAUAUACAUUACAAUCUUAAAGUUGAAGAUGAUUAGUGUUAGUUGGAUAACCUGAAAAUUUGAUCCUCAGUCAGAUACUGCUUGAGUGUUUUUGUUAAUGCAGCUGAAGAUUCAGAAUCACGACCAAAAGGCUUUUCAACAAUGACCCUGGUCCAACCAUUACCAGAAGAAGCCGACAAGCUUCCACAUUUUACAGCAUCUUUAAAUAUAUUAGGAGGAAUUGAAAGAUAAAACAGGCAAUUAGAAGUUCUCCCACCCUACUACAAGAACAAUUUUCAUAUUCAAACAGAAUGGUUAAAAUCUGAUCAUAAAAUUGUAGCUUCAACUAUUGAGACAAAAAUAAAUAAAAUAAGUUCCUUCUUUGUUCGUAUAUCACACUUGAUGCAGAUUAAAAUUGCAUGCCAUAAAAACCGCACAUAAAAAUAAAAAGUGCAGACUAGAGAGAAAAAAAAAAAUGAAAGAAUACAAACAUGUCAAAGAAACACACUAACCAUAAAAUUAAACACUGAUUAUAAUUGAAACAUAAACAAAUAGGUUUUUCUUGAUGAUGUCAUCUAUAGUGUUAUAUUUGAAGAAUUAUAACAUCAAUGAAAUUAUGGCCAAUUGGUCAUGGAGCCAAAAGGAAAAUGCCGUAAUACAAACUAGAUACCAACUAUAGAGAUCUACUAUAGACAUAACCGGUGUAUAAUAGCUAAUGUAUUAAAACUCUUUCUUGUUUUCUUUAUUUAUUUCCACCCUUUUUUCUCUUCAUCUUUUUUAUUUGCUUGCGGGCAAGGGAUUUUCCUUUCAAUUUGAAAAUACAUUCAUUCCAAUUAUUAAGAAGCGAGCACUGUUUUAUACAUUCAGAAAUCACACGCCAUGUAUGACUAAGGAUUUUCCAAACCAUAUAUCAUAAUAAUAAAUAAUAUACGCACUAACAUUGUAAUUUUAUACAUGGUCAUCCAAUCACAACCAAUCAGACAUAGUAAGCAUGGAAUAAUCCCUCAAUUUCAUCCCUAGAGCAUUACUCUGUCUCCUAAGUGGCCCCUAAAGAAGGAAAGAUAUACAAGUAAUUCUCCAAGCAUUAUAAAUCAUGAAAAAUAGUCCCUCAAGUAUUGAAAAAUCCAUCAAAUUGGUCACUGAAUGCUAGAAAAGUAUACCAACUUAGUGACUAAACUGGAAUAUAUUUAACACAUUAGCAGUUACUUACAUAAGUUUUACUACUUUUAAGGACGGACUAUGAUUGGAUUCCCAUUUGAAGCGCUCCAAAUACAUCCCAACAAGUUUUGAUAACUACUCAAUUAGAAAUUGACAUAAAUGGUAACCGAUUUUUCCUGCUUUAGUUAAACCAGAAUAGCAAAAACAAACCUAAUUGAGAAGGAAUACAUGUAUAGAAAAUCUGUUUGAACCAGAAGGUUGGUGUUUGAAUUUAGCAUAUAUAAAUACUGAAACUCUCACAAGGUUGAAACCACUUGUUGUAAUUAGAGAAAAUAUCUUUAAAAUUUUCCUAAUUUUAUAUAAACUUUUAUUUUAUUUUGUUUUCCUAAUUUUACUAUUUUCUUUUUGAUAGAAUUAGAUUAUUACAAAUAGAGGAUAUGAGAAUGUAUCUUUUAUAAUUGAGAAUAAUAAAAUCAGUCUUAUUUUAGGAUGGUUUCACUUUUUAACAUAUUAUUCAUGGAUUGUGUAGAAAAAACCAAGCGAUUAAUUCGUAAUAUAAUUGAGAAAAUUAAUCUGGUUUAUAUACCAGACGGGAGAACAUAUAACCCAAUUUUUUUACUCACCUAUGUUGUUACUUUUUUCACCCAUUUCUUGAAAUAUAUUAUGCAUAAAUGUGAUGAAAUCAUCCUUUAAAAGAAUGAAAGUGAAGGAUGUUAGAAUCAUUACAUAUAGGUAUUGUCAAAAACCGUGAUUUGUGCAGUAGUAAUUGACGUGGAGUAAUCUUAGGAUGUCUUUAUUUGAUGUGCUGUAUUCAUGCAACAGUUUUUUAUCAGGAGCAUUUAUGUUUAAUUAAUCCCGUAAUCAUAGGGAUUUGUUUCUUAGAAUCAGCAGUCUUCAUUUCCUAAAAUAUGCAGCUAACCCAUGUAUAUUUAUAGAGGUUAAUAACCUCAUAAUAAUAAUAAUAAGAAACUAUCCUAUUUCUUCUAAAUUUCAGAGGUAUCAUCAUUUAGGCUAGUCUACAGAAUAAUUAAUGAGUUGUACCUAGUUCAGUACCUAGUUCUGUACCUAGUAGUCUAGUGCAGACUCUUGUGUUCCAUGUACUCUUGUGAUUUUCAUUAUAAAUAGAAGAUAAUAAGAGGGAUCAUUAAGUCCUCAAGAAUAUUUCUUAUCCGUCUUAAAUCUCAAGUUGGUAUCAGGUUCAUCCUGCUCUGGUUUCCGUCCUCAGUUGUCCACCAGCACUGUCAUUGCUGUUUGCACCUGUUCGGUGCCGUUCGCCGUCGUCCACGGCUGUCUCGCCACUAUCUACAGCUGUUAACUGCAGUUUGAAGUUCUUCAACUUGGUUGUCCGUCGCAUCUGUCCGCUGCCAUCCGCCGUCGACAGUCGUCACUGUUCCAUCCGGCGACCACUGGAUCUGGUUUGCCUCUUCACGCGACAACCAACCCCAUCAGUGGCUUCGCCUGAAUCUCCUCCACGCUCCGCCAUGUGCCGCGUCUUUGUGCGCUGCGAACAGGCGCGUGCAGCUUACGCGUUGCCCUCUUGCCGCCGAAAAGUCACCGCGACAUAGUCGUCGCCUGGACCUCCUCUCUCUGUUCUGCCCCUCAAAACCCUGCCUCAGUGAGGUCCAGAAGCUCCCCUUGAAGAAAUCCCUAAGAACCCCCUAGGGUUUUUUAGUUCCUCUCGGUUUUCUGGCUCCUUUCUGGUUCCUCUCCUAUUUUUAUCAACAAUGGCGUCUGGAAGUGUUCUUUCUUUCUCUAGAAGUCCCUCAAUUACUUCCGAAAACCUAAACGGAAAGAAAUACCUCUCUUGGUCUGCUGCCGUGGAAAUGUGGUUCUCGGUCAAGGACAUUAUGAUCACCUUGAGCAGGAUGGAAGCCAAGUACCGUCUGAAAAAGUUAAACAAUGGAAACAAGCAAAUUUCCAGCUGUGUGCCCUAUUAUGGCAGUCUAUGGAACCACGACUUUUGAUAUCUCUUAGAGCCUUCAAAACAUGUCACUCGUUUUGGAAGAAAGCUCAAAGCAUCUAUGCUAAUGAUAUUCAACGUCUCUAUGAUACAACAAACAAACUUGCAAGUCUCAAAAUGACAGACCAUGAUAGGGUCUCCUUCAUGACUGAAGCCCAAGCAGUUGUGGAAGAGUUGAGAAUGUUCUUGGAAGUGGAAUCUUCAGAAGACAUCAAGAAGAAGCUUGACAAGUAUUAUAUGGUGAUGAUCCUCCAUCCUUUGCAUCCAUAUUUGAAUCACAUCAGAGAUCAACUCCUGACAAGCCAUGAGGUCCCUUCCUUGGAAGCCUUGACCACACGUCUUCUUCGUGUUCUAGUGCCUCAAUCUCAGGAAGCUCAUGAAACAUUGGAACCAUCUUUCAUGGUUGCCACACGAGGAAGAGGAGGACGUGGUACUAGAGGAGGAGGACAUGGAGGUCGGGGACGUCCACAUUGCACUUAUUGUAAGAGAGUGGGUCACACCCAAGAAAACUACUACUUCUUGCAUGGGUUUCCUUCAAAAGCAGCCAAUAUCUCUAAGGCCGACACUUCCACUUCCAACUCCAAGUUCACUGAGGAAGAGUAUCUGCAAUUGAAGUCUAACAACUUGGCGCAAUCAUCUCAAUCCCCAAGUACGUCCACCGCCUGCAUUUCUCAUUCCAUGGGAGGUCCCAAUUCAUGGGUAAUUGACUCAGGUGCUUCUGAUCACAUCUUUGGUAAUACCUCAUUGUUCUCAACCCUUUCCCUCCAAGAAAAACCCCAUUUUAUUACCCUUGCAAAUGGCUCCAAAACUUGUUCAAAGGGAGUCGGUCAAGUCUCCCUGUCUCCGUCUCUCACUCUGAAAUCUGUUCUUUUUGUCCCUAACUGUCCAUUCAAUUUAAUUUCCUUAAGUCAGUUAACCAAAAUGUUACAUUGUAAAAUAACCUUUGAUUCAAAACCUUCUGUAAUACAGAAGCGUGGCUCGGGGAGACAGAUUGGAGAAGGAUAUGAAGCUGGAGGUUUAUACCAUUUUGGAUCUCGUCCACGGAUAUCCUGUGCUGCAGCUCUUUCCCCUAAAGUGUUACAUGAUUAGUUUGGCCAUCCCCACUUGUCAAAGUUAAAAAAGAUGUGUCCUGAACUUAAUGGUCUUCAGACUUUAGAAUGUAGUUGUCAACUAGGAAAAACAUGUUAGAUUUGUCUUUCCUAAAAGGUCUCAAUCAAUGUGUACUUCUAGUUUUUCUAUCAUUCACUCUAAUGUCUGGGGACCUAGUCGCGUCUCUUCUUUUGGUUUUAGGUAUUUUGUUACAUUUAUUGAUGAGUAUUCUCGAUGUACUUGGGUUUAUCUAAUGAAAGAUCGCUCUGUGAAUUGUUACCCAUCUUCACCUCAUUUUUGAAUGAAAUCAAGAACCAAUUUGAUCAAUUGAUUAAAAUCUUAAGAAGUGAUAAUGCUAAAGAGUAUUUUUCAUCCUUUUUUUCUGCAAUCCUUAACUCCCAUGGUAUUUUGCAUCAGUCCACUUGUCCUCAUACACCCCAGCAAAAUGGUAUAGCCGAAAGAAAAAAUAGACACUUGGUUGAAACUGCUCGUACCCUUUUGCUUGGAGCCCAUAUUCCUGUUCAUCACUGGGGGAUGCCAUCUUAACUGCAUUUUUUCUUAUUAAUAGGAUGUCAUCCUCCUCUCUCAAUAAUAAAGUCCCUUUCUCCAUUCUUUUUCCCAAUGAUCCUCUCUUUCACACCCCUCCUCGCGUUUUUGGUUGUGUGUGUUUUGUUCACGACAUGUCUCCAGGGCUAGACAAGCUCUCCGCUCGUGCAAUCAAGUGUCUUUUUGGGCUAUUCUCGGCUUCAAAAAGGGUACUGGUGUUAUUCCCCUGAAACCCACAAGUACUACAUGUCUGCUAAUGUCACGAUCUUUGAACAGACACCUUUCUUCUCUCCAUCUGUUCAAGAUGUUCAUAUCCUCCAACAGGUCCUUCCUCUUCCAGUGGUUGAGUCCAAUAUCUCCAACGUCCCCGUCAAUUCAAGUCAUGCUCAAAGUCCUCCUGAACCUUCCUCUCCACAUAUUCUCCUGACACAGUACCCCCAUGGGCAGUCCUCUCCCAGAAAAUGGUGAAUCUCCUCCUUCAAAUUCUUCUUCGUCCCCAUCUCCUGUCACACCUCCUGGUGAAGCUGAUUCUGGUUGGCUCAUUGCUCUCAGAAAAGGUACUCGUUCCACUCGAAACCCUCAUCUCAUUUAUAAUUUUCUUAGCUAUCACAGAGUGUCGCCCUCCUUUUAUUCCCUUUUAUCCUCAGUAUCCCCUGUGGCUAUACCUAAACAUGUGAAAGAAGCACUUGAUCAUCCUAGAUGGUGACAAGCCACAAUUGACGAAAUGCAUGCUCUUGACCACAAUAAUACUUGGGAGCUUGCCACUUCCCCCAGACAAAAAGGUUGUUGGUUGUCGAUGGGUAUAUGCAAUUAAAGUCGACCCUAAUGGUGACAUUGAUUGGCUCAAAGCCCGACUGGUUGCAAAAGUGUACACUCAGGUUUAUGGUCUUGAUUAUUGUGACACCUUUUCUCCCGUGGCAAAGAUGACUACCAUUGUUCUUCACCAUGGCAGCCAUGCAUCAUUGGUCACUUCAUCAGUUGGAUAUCAAAAAUGCCUUUCUUCAUGGUGAUCUUGAGGAAGAGGUUUAUAUGGAGCAACCUCCUGGGUUUGUUGCUCAGGGGGAGUCUAGUAUGGUUUGUAAAUUGAACUGAUCUCUAUAUGGGCUCAAGCAAUCUCCACGUGCUUGGUUUGGAAAGUUCAACUCAAUUGUUCAAAAAUUUGGGUUAAAACACAGUGAAGCAGAUCAUUCAGUCUUUUAUUAUCAUUCGUCUACUUGAUCAUGUAUGUUAAUGAUAUAGUUAUUCCAGGAAAUGAUACUGCUAGAAUAUCUCAAUUAAAGGAGUACAUGUGUAGACAUUUCCAAACCAAAGAUCUUGGAAGCCUCAAAUACUUCUUAGGCAUUGAAGUAGCUCAGUCAAAAGAUGGAGUUGUAAUCUCCCAAAGGAAGUAUGCCCUAGAUAUUUUGCAAGAAACAGACAUGAUUGAUUAUAGACCGGUUGACAGUCCUAUGGACCUAAAUCAAAAAUUAACAACCGAAGAAGGUGACUUAUUUUCCAACCCUGAGAGAUAUAGGAGACUUGUUGGAAAACUAAUCUAUCUCACUAUUACAAGGCCGGAUCUAUAUUUUGUUGUUGGAGUGGUUAGUCAGUUCAUGCAAGCUCCAUGUGUUUGCCAUUGGAAUGCUAUCAUUCGAAUCCUAAGAUGUUUAAAAAAAGGCUCCCGGACAAGGGUUGUUAUAUGAAAAGAAAGGAAGCCUUCAGGUAUCAGGAUAUUGUGAUGCCGAUUGGGCAGGUUCUCCUAUUGCUAGACGAUCUACUAUUGGAUAUUGUGUUUUCCUUGGAGGAAACAUUAUCUCAUGGAAAAGUAAGAAACAAAAUGUAGUGGCUCGUUCAACAGCUGAAGCUGAAUAUAGGACAAUGGCAUCACUAACAUGUGAACUUAUAUGGGUGAAGCAGUUCCUUCAAGAGCUUAACUUCUGUGACAUUCAAAGUAUGAAGAUGUAUUGUGAUAACCAAGUUGCCCUUCACAUCGCAUCAAAUCCAAUAUUUCAUGAGAGAACUAAACAUAUAGAGAUUGAUUGUCAUUUUGUUCGGGAAAAGUUAUUGUCAAAAGAAAUAUGUACCGAGUUUGUUGGAUCAAAUGACCAACUCGCAAUGUGUUGACUAAGUCAUUAAGGGGAUUGAGUUUAUUUGUUCCAAGCUUGGUACAUACAAUUUGUAUGCACCAGCUUGAGGGAGAGUUUUAGAAUCAUUACAUAUAAGUAUCAUCAUUUAGGCUAGUCUGCAGAAGUAUAAUGAGUUGUACCUAGUUCUGUACCUAAUAGUCUAGUGCAGACUCUUGGUGUUCCAUGUACUCUUGUGAUUUUCAUUAUAAAUAGAAGAUAAUGAGGGGGAUCAUUAAGCCCUCAAGAAUAUUUCUUAUCAGUCUUAAAUCUCAAGUAAGGAUAAUAAUAAUAAGCAUGAAGGAAACUAAGCACCAGCCAAAAAGAAAAUGAAAAAGAGGUUGUAAAGUAAGAUAGUUGGGUGCGUUUGUUUGAUUGAUUAUUUCCAAUUAUGCAUGUAGGUGGUGCAAUAAAAGGGUGGGAGAAUGGGAUGGCAUAUAAGACAUUUCGAAACCUUUCGGUUAAAGCAGCACAGCUAGUUCGUUCAACAUUGCCAUUUUAUAGGUUUGAAAAUUAGACAAUUAUGAUUAUUAAAUUGUGAUAUUUAAUAAAUGCAUGAUUAAUGAACCAUCAUAUUAAGGCAAGAAAGUAGUGCAAGCAUUAUGAUAACUAGAGGACUUAAGCUAAACUUACCAGUAAAAAGUGUUCUUAUGGGUUGAAUUUUCCGCACUUCCUCCAACGCCUGAAAUGGAAGAUCAGAAUAAAUCUCCUUCCUAAAAGAAAAAGUUUAAGCAAAUGUAAAGCUGAUUGUUAAUUUAUUACCCUUGGAAGUCCAAAAUGUGUGGAAGUAGAACGAUAAGGUCUUAAUGCAUCCUGUGGAAUCAAACACUGUGAGUGAGGGAGAAAUCAUACACGCACUCACAGUUAUUUCAUGUAAGUAUAAAGCACAGCUGUGGAAAGAUAAAAAGGAUGGGAGGGUAUAUCACCAGGAUUAGAAUUUCACAGUCCUUUAGAAGUGGGUAAGUUUCUUCAGGAAUUUCACUAACAUCACUGCAAAUUUAGAGACAAAAUCAGCCCACAUAAAUAGAUGAAAAGGCUGAACUGAAUCAUAUGCAAAUACUUUUCUACUUAAGUAGAAACAUUACCUAAAGUAUCAGAUAUUACCAAACCGAAAACCAAGAGACCCAUAAUUCUAGCCGUGCCAAACUGGUAAUGGGGUAAUCUGAAGUACAAUAAUAGAAGAAAAAAAAAAUUAGAGCCAAGCCCAGUCCACAAGAAGGAACACGCCAGAAAUUAAUUGAUUGAGCAAUAAGUGAGAAAAAAGUUGACAAGGGACAAAGUACGAGAACACCCCACUUGAAGAUGUUAAGACUAAUAAUGGUACUGAUCUUCAGUCCGUGUACAAAAUUUCCUCAUAUUUCAAUAGUUAAAUCCACCUUUUAACCCUACUCUUGCAACUAGUGAUAAAUAUUUUCUAACUUCAAAUGAAUUCCUGUGGAGUAAAUGUUAAAGCGGAUGCAGAGAUUCAUUAGCAUUAAGUAUAUAUAUAUA